CCUACGGGAGGCAGCAGUGAGGAAUAUUGGUCAAUGGCCGAGAGUCUGAACCAGCCAAGUCGCGUGCGGGAAGAAUGUCCUAUGGAUUGUAAACCUCUUUUGUCAGGGAGCAAAGUCACCCACGUGUGGGUGAUGGCGAGUACCUGAAGAAAAAGCAUCGGCUAACUCCGUGCCAGCAGCCGCGGUAAUACGGAGGAUGCGGGCGUUAUCCGGAUUUAUUGGGUUUAAAGGGUGCGUAGGCGGGUUAUCAAGUCAGCGGUAAAAUCGUGGGGCUCAACUCCAUACAGCAGUUGAAACUGGUGAUCUUGAGUGGGCGAGAAGUAUGCGGAAUGCGUGGUGUAGCGGUGAAAUGCAUAGAUAUCACGAAGAACUCCGAUUGCGAAGGCAGCAUACCGUCGCCUGACUGACGCUGAAGCACGAAAGCGUGGGUAUCGAACAGGAUUAGAUACCCGAGUAGUC
rnacentral:rRNA from 1 species